rnacentral:rRNA from 1 species
GACGAACGCUGGCGGCGUGCCUAAUACAUGCAAGUCGUACGCAGUUGCGAACGUGUUAUUAACGCGUCGGUAACUGCCUGUUAGUGGGGGAUAACUAUUGGAAACGAUAGCUAAUACCGCCUACUAGUAGAUUUACCUUCGUUGUAUUAGCUAGUAGGUCGGGUAACGGCCUACCUAGGCGACGAUACAUAGCCGGUCUGAGAGGGUGACCGGCCACACUGGGACUGAGACACGGCCCAGACGCCUACGGGAGGCAGCAGUAGGGAAUAUUCGACAAUGGGGGGAACCCUGACGGAGCAACGCCGCGUGUAUGAAGAAGGCCUUCGGGUUGUAAAGUACUUUCAGCGGGGAGCGUUACCCGCAGAAGAAGCACCGGCUAACUCCGUGCCAGCAGCCGCGGUAAUAC